AACUAACGCUGGCGGCGUGCAUAACACAUGCAAGUCGAACGAGAAAGUUGGCUUCGGCCAAUGAGUAAAGUGGCGCACGGGUGCGUAACACGUGGGUAAUUUGCCCUUCAGUGGGGAAUAACUCGCCGAAAGGCGGGCUAAUACCUCAUAAUACGAUCUUCACCUUGGUGGGAUCGUCAAAGAUGGCCUCUGCUUGCAAGCUGUCGCUGAAGGAUAAGCCCGCGGCCUAUCAGCUUGUUGGUGAGGUAACGGCUCACCAAGGCGAUGACGGGUAGCUGGUCUGAGAGGAUGACCAGCCACACUGGAACUGAGACACGGUCCAGACUCCUACGGGAGGCUG
rnacentral:rRNA from 1 species